rnacentral:rRNA from 1 species
UUAAAUUGAAGAGUUUGAUCAUGGCUCAGAUUGAACGCUGGCGGCAGGCCUAACACAUGCAAGUCGAACGGUAACAGGAAGCAGCUUGCUGCUUCGCUGACGAGUGGCGGACGGGUGAGUAAUGUCUGGGAAACUGCCUGAUGGAGGGGGAUAACUACUGGAAACGGUGGCUAAUACCGCAUAACGUCGCAAGACCAAAGAGGGGGACCUUCGGGCCUCUUGCCAUCAGAUGUGCCCAGAUGGGAUUAGCUUGUUGGUGAGGUAACGGCUCACCAAGGCGACGAUCCCUAGCUGGUCUGAGAGGAUGACCAGCCACACUGGAACUGAGACACGGUCCAGACUCCUACGGGAGGCAGCAGUGGGGAAUAUUGCACAAUGGGCGCAAGCCUGAUGCAGCCAUGCCGCGUGUAUGAAGAAGGCCUUCGGGUUGUAAAGUACUUUCAGCGGGGAGGAAGGUGUUGUGGUUAAUAACCGCAGCAAUUGACGUUACCCGCAGAAGAAGCACCGGCUAACUCCGUGCCAGCAGCCGCGGUAAUACGGAGGGUGCAAGCGUUAAUCGGAAUUACUGGGCGUAAAGCGCACGCAGGCGGUCUGUCAAGUCGGAUGUGAAAUCCCCGGGCUCAACCUGGGAACUGCAUUCGAAACUGGCAGGCUUGAGUCUUGUAGAGGGGGGUAGAAUUCCAGGUGUAGCGGUGAAAUGCGUAGAGAUCUGGAGGAAUACCGGUGGCGAAGGCGGCCCCCUGGACAAAGACUGACGCUCAGGUGCGAAAGCGUGGGGAGCAAACAGGAUUAGAUACCCUGGUAGUCCACGCCGUAAACGAUGUCUACUUGGAGGUUGUGCCCUUGAGGCGUGGCUUCCGGAGCUAACGCGUUAAGUAGACCGCCUGGGGAGUACGGCCGCAAGGUUAAAACUCAAAUGAAUUGACGGGGGCCCGCACAAGCGGUGGAGCAUGUGGUUUAAUUCGAUGCAACGCGAAGAACCUUACCUGGUCUUGACAUCCACAGAACUUUCCAGAGAUGGACUGGUGCCUUCGGGAACUGUGAGACAGGUGCUGCAUGGCUGUCGUCAGCUCGUGUUGUGAAAUGUUGGGUUAAGUCCCGCAACGAGCGCAACCCUUAUCCUUUGUUGCCAGCGGUUAGGCCGGGAACUCAAAGGAGACUGCCAGUGAUAAACUGGAGGAAGGUGGGGAUGACGUCAAGUCAUCAUGGCCCUUACGACCAGGGCUACACACGUGCUACAAUGGCGCAUACAAAGAGAAGCGACCUCGCGAGAGCAAGCGGACCUCAUAAAGUGCGUCGUAGUCCGGAUUGGAGUCUGCAACUCGACUCCAUGAAGUCGGAAUCGCUAGUAAUCGUGGAUCAGAAUGCCACGGUGAAUACGUUCCCGGGCCUUGUACACACCGCCCGUCACACCAUGGGAGUGGGUUGCAAAAGAAGUAGGUAGCUUAACCUUCGGGAGGGCGCUUACCACUUUGUGAUUCAUGACUGGGGUGAAGUCGUAACAAGGUAACCGUAGGGGAACCUGCGGUUGGAUCACCUCCUUACCUGAAAGAA